ACCGCGACCCGUAGGGACCAAUUAUUUCAUUCCCCCCAACACUUCGUAUUUUUUUCCUCUUUCUCUAAAACUUUCGAACCCUAGCUAAUAACUGUGAGACUCAGCAGCUCAUUCACCUUGCCGACCUCAUCGUUCUCCAAGCUGACCUGCCUUGAGUUCCCGACAUCCUUCUCCAACCUGACGUGCUCCAAGUCCCCGACUUCAUUCUCCGACCUAAGCCGACUGGAGCCGCCUCCGAUCUGACCCAGAGUCCCCGACCUCGCUCUCUGACCCUGAGUUUCCGGCCUCGCUCUCUGACCCAACCUCCCUCUCCAGACCUCGAGCUUGAGAUCCAAUCUGAACUCGAGCUUAUUAGCCGACCUGAGCUUGUCAUUCUCCUAUUUGAGCCGGCUCUACGUCUAGUCGCGUAGGUCCUCUUUCUCUCUUCUCUAGCUUGGUGAUUUCCUGUCCGGUUUUGAUCUAAAGUUCAAUCUUUUUUGUUUAAUAAGGUUGGGCUGAAAACGAAUCAGAGGGGUUUGGUUUUCAAAGCUUUUGAAUUUUUGAUUUUUAUGUAGCGUUUUCCCUCUCCCCAAAUUUCACUUCCCUCCUCCCCCAAUUUUCAACUUCCCUCUUCAAUUGAAACCCACCAUAAAAAAAAGAAGUUUCAUUCACUCUGCUCCCAUUUUUCAGUUGUAAUAGAAAGAAGAAAACAAACUCGAGCUGAAAAUGCAGUCGAUCUGAUUCGACUCGGCGGAGAAGGCGGCGACUCGUAUCAAGGGUUCAACUCGUAGUUAGAUGUGCGAUAUAUUCUGGGUUAAGAGAUUCUGGGAAACAUUUCAGUACAAGAUCUACCAGUAAUAUUACCAGGAUGAGUUUUGAAUUUUGAUUCCAUCAAGAGGAAUGAUGCCACUGGGCACCCUGCUACUGUGACUACUGGAGGGAUGACGAUCAGAUGUUGAUCUUCUUCUAAUAAACAUAGCUACAAAUUCCUUGAAAGGGGGACUUGCUAGUGAGGUUUGGGGUGAUAUACAGCUUGCAGCACUGCGUGCACUUUUGGCAUCUUUCUUGUCUUCAUCUCGUGUCCGCCCCCCUUACUUAGCUAAGGGUGUUGAUCUUUUCUGUAGAGGGCAGCUUCCAUACCAAAAAGCAAGGGUGGUACAUUUCUUCAAAUGAAAUUGGUUUACAAUCAAUUGGCACCAAUUUUCCUGUUUUUGCUUCAAUGGAUUGAUUGCUCGUCUUCAUGUUUACUUGUAAGUUACUUGAAUCUUUUCGACAUAGUUGUAUAUAAGGUACGCUCAGAUGGGAGGGCAAAUAUCUCGUCUUAUGGAAAAAAAGCUACUUCCAGUAGUUUAUGUGAAUAUAUUUUUGCAAAAUCUCUUUCUCAGUUUAUAGAUAUUACUAAUUUCAUGUUAUUUUGAUAUCUUUAUUAGGUGAAGAACUUGAGAGCUGAUGAACUUGAAGAAGACAAGAAAGAAGCUUUGCCUUAUUUGUUUCUCACAGCCAUGUUUAUUGGAUCAUUAUGAAUAAUUGAUUCAUUCCAUUUUGUAGCCAAAUUGUUUUGUAGUAGGUGAAUUGGGGUUUUAUUUUGUCCAUUUUGUAAACUGUUAAGGAUGAUGAUUUCAGAUAAAAUACUCCAAUAUUCAAAUCACUCUUGUCAACUGUUGAAAUUGCAAUUUAUAGCAGCAGCUACAUAUUUUGUGGACAUCA